rnacentral:lncRNA from 1 species
AGCUCCGUCCGCCUUGCUUUUCCCUCUCGCCCCGCCCUCCCCCCCUUUUGUGCUGCUGCGGCCGUCAAUUGCCAGUACGCCACCGAAUGUACUCCGGCAAAGGUACUUUUGUACGAUCGGCUCUCUCUCUCUCUCUCUCUAUUUCUCUCUCGCUCUCGCUUGACAGCAAGACCAGGAGCCGAGGAGCGCCGUUCUGACGUACACUUGUACUGCAUAGUUGUUAGAGGAGGACGGGGAGCGACAGACGUUUCAAGGCAGGGAUCCGACUCUGUGGGCCCACCCCGGGUCGGGCAGACUCGUUCUUCCAGGUGUUGAUGGACGUAAGAUAAACCCAUCUCAUUCUGCAACAUUUUGACUGUGAAAGAAAUAACUGGCCAAAUUUAUGAGAUUAUGAUGAAUCCACAUAAUUCUUCUCACUUCAGAAUUAUAAUAUCUGAUACAACUUUUGUGCUCCUCACCUCACCAAGAGGAUUUUCCAUUCAAUGCCCAUCUCUAACUAGAGAAUGGAGAGUAACUGGGUUGACUUGACACGAUUUGUCUGCGUUUAUAAUCCUAGCUGCAUGAUAGGCCUUCCCCGUUAGGCAAGCACCCACCAUGUCUGUAACACCCACCAUGAUAGGCCUUCCCAUCAUAAUGAUGGGAAUGUCUUGACAUCACUUGAUCUUAGUCAAAUAUUAAAUGGUAUGCUAGUUUUCUCUAAUCAAGCAAAUGGUUCCCAUCUAUAUAAUCUUUAUCAUCAUUUCAAAAAACUUAAUCACUAUCCCAGCACC